GAUUUUUCGAAUCGUUCUCGCGGUACUUUGAUGUCAUCUAUGCGGUGUCAGCUCUGAGGUCAGUAGAAAACUUCUCGGGCACCGAUUGGACAAUUGGCAGUGCACCUGAACCUGCAGGAACGCCCCCUGAUGCCACACCCAUCACAACUGAUGACCUACAGCAGAGGCCAAAGGUCAGUCCUUGGAAAUACAAGAGAAAGCUACAGUCGCGAGAUCUUUCAGGAUGGGCAUCUCCACGGUACAGUCACGGCCGUCCAACAGAGCCACCAGAGGACGAGGAUGAAGAGAACCGUUCAUGAUCUGAGGUCUGAUACCUGAACACACACAACAGCAGGAGGUGUGAGGUGACAGAAUAAAGCAGAGAGGAGUAAAGACUGAUACUUGUGUCAGGAGAACCCAUUGUGGACACGAUGACCGGCGGUCCUGUUCGAC